rnacentral:tRNA from 1 species
GGGAAUGUGGCUUAGUGGUAGAGUGCUUGCUUCGUAUGCAUGAAGCCCUGGGUUUGAUUCCUCAGUACCA